GUAGGGAAUAUUGGGCAAUGGAUGCAAGUCUGACCCAGCCAUGCCGCGUGGAGGAAGAAGGUCCUCUGGAUUGUAAACUCCUUUUUUGGGGGAAGAAUAGUUCUCUUGCGAGGGAAUGUGACGGUACCCUAAGAAUAAGCCACGGCUAACUACGUGCCAGCAGCCGCGGUAAUACGUAGGUGGCAAGCGUUGUCCGGAUUUAUUGGGUUUAAAGGGUGCGUAGGUGGUUUGAUAAGUCAGUGGUGAAAGCUGGUUGCUCAACAAUCAAGUUGCCAUUGAUACUGUCGGACUUGAGAGAAGUGGAGGUUCAUGGAAUGGAUGGUGUAGCGGUGAAAUGCAUAGAUAUCAUCCAGAACGUCGAUUGCGAAGGCAGUGGGCUGUACUUUAUCUGACACUGAGGCACGAAAGUGUGGGGAUCAAACAGGAUUAGAAACCCUAGUAGUCC
rnacentral:rRNA from 1 species